rnacentral:rRNA from 1 species
UACGGAGGGUGCAAGCGUUAUCCGGAAUCACUGGGUUUAAAGGGUGCGUAGGCGGCUUGAUAAGUCAGAGGUGAAAGCCCACGGCUCAACUGUGGAACUGCCUUUGAUACUGUCAGGCUUGAAUUGGGUUGAGGCAGGCGGAAUGUGGCAUGUAGCGGUGAAAUGCUUAGAUAUGCCAUAGAACACCGAUUGCGAAGGCAGCCUGCCAAGCCUUGAUUGACGCUGAGGCACGAAAGCGUGGGGAGCGAACAGG